rnacentral:rRNA from 1 species
CCUACGGGAGGCAGCAGUGAGGAAUAUUGGUCAAUGGCCGGAAGGCUGAACCAGCCAUGCCGCGUGAAGGUCAGUGCCCUAUGGGUUGUAAACUUCUUUUAUAUGGGAAUAAAACGUUCCACGUGUGGGAUUUUGUAUGUACCAUAUGAAUAAGGAUCGGCUAACUCCGUGCCAGCAGCCGCGGUAAUACGGAGGAUCCGAGCGUUAUCCGGAUUUAUUGGGUUUAAAGGGAGCGUAUGUGGAUUGUUAAGUCAGUUGUGAAAGUUUGCGGCUCAACCGUAAAAUUGCAGUUGAAACUGGCAGUCUUGAGUACAGUAGAGGUGGGCGGAAUUCGUGGUGUAGCGGUGAAAUGCUUAGAUAUCACGAAGAACUCCGAUUGCGAAGGCAGCUCACUGGACUGCAACUGACACUGAGGCUCGAAAGUGUGGGUAUCAAACAGGAUUAGAUACCCGGGUAGUC